rnacentral:tRNA from 1 species
GCACUGCUAGUUCAGUGGCAGAGCUCUCCCCUUCCAUGUGGGAGACCGGGGUUCAAUUCCCUGCCAGUGCA